UGCUGAAGAAGACGCCGGGACCCGCCUGCUCGUCCAUGGCAGCCGCAGAAGCCCGUCCCCAGUUUCUCCACGGUUCACCUGCAAACUGGCAACAGGAUCAGCCUACCGAAGGGACACCGAAGUUCCUUCAGCUGUUUCUGUGUAAAUGUUACCCUUCUCCGAAGUCCCUGAAAUUGUCACUGUGAGUUCAGGCUACAACGAUAAUGAAAGGAACACAUUUGAAAAAAUAUAUAUAACAAGUGCAAAUGAAAUUAAGCACUUAGUCUUCAUAACAAGUUAUUUGCAGUUCUUCUGUUUUGUGGGAUGGGCUUCUGAGAUACCAGAUCCGAUGGCCAUGAAAAAAAAUGUAAAGAUAUAGGCUGAUGAGUGACAUGUCAAGGAAGGACAUCCUGUCCUUCUUCCCUUUCGCUUCCCUUCCCAUGGCUACUUGUGGAAAGGGCAGGAAACACAUUGUGUCUGCAAAUAAAAAUGGCAACCUCUGUUCUCCUACGA